rnacentral:rRNA from 1 species
GAGUUUGAUCCUGGCUCAGAACGAGCGCUGGCGGCAUGCCUAACACAUGCAAGUCGAACGAGACCCCUGACUUCGGUUGGCGGGUCUAGUGGCGCACGGGUGCGUAACGCGUGGGAAUCUGCCCUUCGGUUCGGAAUAACAGUUAGAAAUGACUGCUAAUACCGGAUAAUGACGUAAGUCCAAAGAUUUAUCGCCGAAGGAUGAGCCCGCGUAGGAUUAGGUAGUUGGUGGGGUAAAGGCCUACCAAGCCGACGAUCCUUAGCUGGUCUGAGAGGAUGAUCAGCCACACUGGGACUGAGACACGGCCCAGACUCCUACGGGAGGCAGCAGUGGGGAAUAUUGGACAAUGGGCGAAAGCCUGAUCCAGCAAUGCCGCGUGAGUGAUGAAGGCCUUAGGGUUGUAAAGCUCUUUUACCAGGGAUGAUAAUGACAGUACCUGGAGAAUAAGCUCCGGCUAACUCCGUGCCAGCAGCCGCGGUAAUACG